GGGGAAUAUUGCACAAUGGGGGAAACCCUGAUGCAGCAACGCCGCGUGAGCGACGAAGGCCUUCGGGUUGUAAAGCUCUGUCUUCACUGACGAAGUAUGACGGUAAGUGAGGAGGAAGCCACGGCUAACUACGUGCCAGCAGCCGCGGUAAUACGUAGGUGGCAAGCGUUGUCCGGAAUUAUUGGGCGUAAAGGGUGCGUAGGCGGUCUUUUAAGUGGGAUGUGAAAUACCUGGGCUUAACUCAGGAAUUGCAUUCCAAACUGGAAGACUAGAGUGCAGGAGAGGAAAGUGGAAUUCCCAGUGUAGCGGUGAAAUGCGUAGAGAUUGGGAGGAACACCAGUGGCGAAGGCGACUUUCUGGACUGUAACUGACGCUGAGGCACGAAAGCGUGGGGAGCAAAC
rnacentral:rRNA from 1 species